GUGGCUCCUAUAAAGGAAGAAUAUAGCAAUGACAAACAGGGAAAGCUCUGUCAUCAGAAAGGAUGUCUCUCAAAGCAAUCUGCAAAAAGUGUCCCCAAAUUAGGUCUGGGGAGCCACCUGGACCUCAGAUAUUCCACAUUUCCAGUUUAGCUUUAGGGUCCUCAAUAUUGCUCCCCAUACACUAAACUGCAACUCUGCUAAUCACAAAUCUGGGAAAUUCCAGCAAAGAAACCUCGGCAUACCCUAUGGCAGUGCAAAACUCCAGACAUUUGUAAACACUGUACAUUUUACUUUUGGCACAGGGGAAAGUUUGCAGGUUCCUUUAUCUUUGAAGUGCAGGUUCCAAACAGCGCUAGUUCCUAAUCUAUAGCCAUUUUCAGCAAAGGCAAUAACAGUCCAUCAAGUGUCUGUGCACACAUGUACGGCAUAGACAAUGUUGCCAUUUGUGAUGAUAUGGAUACACCUUGAGGGCAUUAUGUAAGUCAGUCAGAAACACCUCCCUUACAUGUGUAAUCUAAAAAUGAAAAACACCAAGCUCAGAGAUACAGAGAACAAAUAGGUGGUUGCCAGAGGCAAGGGAUAGGGGGAGGUGAAAUGGGUGAAGGGGGUCAAAAGAUACAAACUUCCAGUUAUAAAAUAAAUAAGUCCUGGGGAUGAAAUGUACAGGCGUGGUGACUAUAAUUAAUAACACUGCAUUGUAUAUUUGAAAGUUUCUACGAGAACAGACAUUAAAAGUUCUCAUCACAAGAAAAAAAAUUCUGGAGCUACGUAUGGUGACGGAUGUGAACCUGACUUAUUGUAAUUAUUUCUCAGUGGAUACAAAUACUGAAUCACUGCGUGCUACACCUGGAACUAACACAAUGUUGUGUGUCAAUUAUACCUCAAAAACCAAAAAGAUUUCAAGUGAAGCAUGGCUUACCUAUAACUAGGAAGACCAUAUAAUUUAAGGUACAAAUGAAGACAUCUGAGAGUGCAUGGGGGAGACUAGGUAAACUGGAAGGGAUGCUGAAAAGGAAGAGCAAACUAGCACUGUCCCCAGAAACCCAGAGCACAUGGCAGUCUUAAGCACAAUAAAUGGUAGUGUCUGGAAGCCAAGGGUUUCUUUAUCUCAGAGCAGUACUAUGAAGACCUCACAUACAAACUAUGUCUUCCUUUAGUGGCAGUGAGUAAAACACAUCCGUACCGCAGCGGCAUUGAAAAAAGAGCAAAAGUGAAAAUAGACGGAGAAGAUGGUUUAAAGUUUCCUGCAGGUAAAGAUGAGAUUCAGCUCAAAGCUGCAGCUUUUUUCUAAGCAAAGUACUUAGUGCUAAUGAAAAACCCAGGGGAGCAAAGGGGAAAAAGAGGAAAGCUCAGUAGCAUGAGAGGACUCUGUGCUAGGCAAGGAUAUGCCAAAAUUAGCAUUAAAUAUUAUAAACACAAAUAAAAUUUAAAAAUUUUUUCUUAAUUUUCUAAAAAAACCCGCACCUUUACAUAAGAGGAAUCAUAAGGUACAAGCGCAGAUGUCCAACUCUCCCUGCCCCCACCCCUUAAGUUAUCGCUUGCAAAAAGCAUCUGACUGGCAAAAAUAAAACAAAAUUGAGGGCUAUCAAGCUGUUAUGAAGAGUGUAGCACUAAGGGGAAAUACGGAGGAAAGUAAUUUAACUCUCUGAAGUUUCAGAGCAUUUACCACAGUCUAACAAAACACUGAACUCAAAAGACUGGUUCUACUUACUGAGGGAAAGGAGCCCUUGUCCUUGAUGCCCGGAGAGAACCAGAGAUAUGAGCUUUAUUUCCCAAGAAGGAACAAUGCUGCAGAAAAUGGUUCAAGUUCCUUGCCCCUGUUACCUGCCCUCCUAGUGGCAGAAAUAAGUUAUCCGAUUAUAUAAGAAGGCCUGACACUUGCUGGGCCUCUUCUCUUGGGGGAGAAAGAAAGAGUCAAAGUU
rnacentral:lncRNA from 1 species